AGUGAACGCUGGCGGUAGCCCUAACACAUGCAAGUCGAACGGCAGCACAGUAAGAGCUUGCUCUUACGGGUGGCGAGUGGCGGACGGGUGAGGAAUACAUCGGAAUCUACUUUUUCGUGGGGGAUAACGUAGGGAAACUUACGCUAAUACCGCAUACGACCUACGGGUGAAAGCAGGGGAUCUUCGGACCUUGCGCGAUUGAAUGAGCCGAUGUCGGAUUAGCUAGUUGGCGGGGUAAAGGCCCACCAAGGCGACGAUCCGUCGCUGGUCUGAGAGGAUGAUCAGCCACACUGGAACUGAGACACGGUCCAGACUCCUACGGGAGGCAGCAGUGGGGAAUAUUGGACAAUGGGCGCAAGCCUGAUCCAGCCAUACCGCGUGGGUGAAGAAGGCCUUCGGGUUGUAAAGCCCUUUUGUUGGGAAAGAAAAGCAGCAGGUUAAUACCCCGCUGUUCUGACGGUACCCAAAGAAUAAGCACCGGCUAACUUCGUG
rnacentral:rRNA from 1 species